CUCAAUGUAGCUUAGUCGGCAAAGCAUAGCAUUUGAAAUGCCAUGGUUGUGGGUUUGAUUCCCUGGGGGGG